UACCAGCACCCCGAGUGGUCGGGACGAUUAUUGGGCCUAAAGCAUCCGUAGCCGGCCUUACAAGUCCUCCGUUAAAUCCAGCUGCUUAACAGAUGGGCUGCGGAGGAUACUAUGAGACUAGGAGGCAGGAGAGGCAAGCGGUACUCAGUGGGUAGGGGUAAAAUCCGUUGAUCCAUUGAAGAUCACCAGUGGCGAAGGCGGCUUGCCAGAAUGCGCUCGACGGUGAGGGAUGAAAGCUGGGGGAGCAAACCGG
rnacentral:rRNA from 1 species